rnacentral:lncRNA from 1 species
UUAAAGGAAGCAUGACUAAGAUAAUAUUAUUAUGUAGGAAAUUCACCUUGAAAAAACCUGGGAAGCAAAUAUGAAGUUAUUUUUGGUCAUUCAAUGACCUUUUUGUUGUUUUGUUUUUAAGGUAAAGAGACAGAAUUCCAUCCUCUGGAAGACACUCUAAUUAAACUGCCUGCAUCUUCUACCAACUCACACUGCCCUGGAGUUCUGGUUGUAAUGUAAUAAAAUACACUGAGGAAAGCUAAUCUAGUUUCCAACCUUAAUUAAGAAAAUGCUGUUAUAUGCAGCAACACAUCGUCCCUGUAACCCCAAAGCUCAGCAAACACAUAAAUUCCUCAGUGCCUGUAUUAGUGCAACCACACAGGCACAUAAGGACCAGAAUCUACAUCACUAGCUCAUAAUAUUUGAUUGCUGUAGUUGCAAGGUACUAUUCACUCUGAUGGGCACAUAUACACAAACACGUUAUUGGUGCGGUUUUCACACUUGGGGAAUCUACACGUGCAUAAGGAGUCUUAAGGAAGUAAUGUGGGUGGGAAGAACAAAGGUUUAGAAAAUAAGGAAAAGUCUCAGAGACCAGAAGUAUAAGCAAGUAUUGCUCCUCAGAUAGAACUUGAUGUAACUCUUCAUGCAAUAGAUUCUAAGAUACAGACGAGAAGAUUGGUAGAACCACAGAGGCUCUAUUAAAAAUGAAUUUACUAGUGUUUACUCUGGCGGUAUAUGUAAUACAGCAUUGAUUGUUAACAUUUUGGAGAUGUUAUUAGUGUUUACUCUGGCAGUAUAUGUAAUACAGCAUUGAUUGCUUAACAUUUUGGAGAUGUUUAAGGCUCAAGAUCUGAUAGGGUAAAAUUGAGCCUAUGUUGGAUGAAAUAUAUUCAGUUACAAUUAAUGUUAGUUAAAUAGUAUUAUCAAUUCAUUGACAAUUAAGCUGGAAAAUAGUUAAACUUAUGUGAGUGACAGAGACUCUUGUUCAGUUAUCCAACAAAUAUUUACUGAGAAAGACGCAUAUUACCUAAUAGUAUUCUCGUUACUAAAGAUCUGAAGCAAGAAUAUUUUUCUGUUCUUGAGAGCAGCACAAAAAAAUAAAACGGAAAAGACCUAAAUCUGUGUUGACUAAAUGCAUUAAAUGUUCCUUACAAGGCAUCACAUUAGUGCCAAAAUGUGUCAGUUAAAUACAUUAAAGUUAAUUUCAGAGACAUCCAAAUAUAUCAUUGUGGC